CCAACAGGACCUUCCAAUCCAUCAUGUUCAACAAAAUAUGGUACAUCAGGACCAGCUGUUCACAAUGUUAAACUAAAACUCUCUAACGAUUCCAAAGAGACAUUUCUAUUAUCCAAAAGCCCAUUGCAGCAGUGGGAGCUGGAGCCACAAAACCAGAAGGGAUCGCAGUGCAGCAAGAGACAGAAAUGAUCGGCCCCACUCAAUUUCUCGGAAGUUGCAACAUACCAAAAUAAAAAGAUAUGGCAUAUGAACCAUUUACACUUGGAAAAUGCCAUAUUGCUGGCUCCUAUAAGAGGUCAUCAGCUCCAGUGGACAUUUCCCAUCUUGAGGACUGGGUUGAUGGCAGAUGGUGACAAAGGUGGUAAGGUAAGAGAGAUGGUAAUUUGACAGUUUCCACAAUAAAACCUAACAUCAAAAUUGUACUUUACAGUUUUCAAACAUUUUC
rnacentral:lncRNA from 1 species